CACAACCGGCUGCUGUCCGCUUUCCUCAGCCUCUGGGCCAGGAACGUAAUGCACCUGCGGGGCUGGGCGAGGCAGGGCUGGGCUAGCAGGAGGCUGCGGGUCGGGAGCGAGGGGCACUGGCAGAGCUGGGGGUGGGGAGCCCAGGGCUAGGAUAGCAGGAGGCUGCGGGUCGGGAGCGAGGGGCACCAGCAGAGAAGGGAGGCUGGGUUAGCAGGGACUGUGGGUCUGGAGUGGGGAUCACUGGCAGAACUGCUAGGGACCCCCAGGCUGGCCUAGCAGGGGCUGCAGGUCGGGAGUGAGGGGCACCGGUAUUGCUGGGGGGCUGGGCAGAAAGGGAAAGCGGGUGGAUUCCUGCGGGGGGGGGGGGUGUUUCCCAGCCCAGGACAGAUGAUCCCGGCAGCCUGCAAUGGCAUCGGGGCAGUGGUGGGCGCUGCUGAGCAGUUCCAGGUGAUCUUCCCCCUUUGGGGGGCCCCAGGGCCUCACCUCAUUCCGCUACCCACGCUGCCCGGACACCCCUUGGCUCUGGCCGGAGCUGUGCAAACUCGGGCUCUUCUUGGACAAGGACCAGGCCACGUUGGAGGCCCAAAUCCUGGCACAGGAGGGGGUCAGGGGCAGUUACCGCCAGUGCCUGCGCUGCCAGCACCUCAUCCAGCCCCUGGACCCCAGGAUCCUGCGCACCCCCUGCCUGCCUUGCUCCCAGCGGGCCAGGGGGCUGUACUGCUUCUGCUGGGGCUGCGGCACGGAAUGGAGGGACCCCUCAUCCAAUGCUGACUCGUGAUGCCCCCUACAGGCCAUGCUGCAUGAUGCCCCCAAGAUUGUCCAUCGACAGCCACCCCUCGCUGCAGGCCUGUCCCUGUUGCCACGCCCUCCUGAGCAACAUUGGGAAAGGCUGCCCCCUGGUGGUAUGCCCUGAAUGUCUCUGGAGUACAAACAUCCCAGCUUGGAUGGGUCGUUCAGAGCUUCAGUUUCAAGCACAGUUCCUCCAGAGUGCUCGUCCAGGUCCUGGACCCAGGGACCCCACGCACCCCCUGCCUGCCCUGCUCCCAGCGGGCCGGGGAGCUGUACUGCUUCUGUUGGGGCUGCCACAUGGACUGGAAGGACCCCUCGUCCCAGUGCCUCCUACAGGCCGUGCUGUACAACGCCCCGGAGAUCCGGGCCUCGGGAUCGUCUGUCCAUGGCUGCCCCUUGCUGCGGGCCUGUCCCGAGUGCCACACCCUGGUGAGCCACACUGAGCUAGGCUUUCCCCUGGUGGCAUGCCUGGAGUACUGCAUGGCGUUCUGCUACCGCUGCCUGAAGACGGCCAUGGCACACUGUGUGCAGCACAGCGACCCUGUGCAUGGUGGAUAUGGAUCACCCUGCUACCCUGUCAGCCUGAGGCAGGAACCAUGACAGGAAAGCAGCACCCGACUGCGACGGGCGUGAGGGGCACAGCUCCUCCUGGGACUUGCUCUGGCCUGGGUUGAGCAUCACAGCCAAAGGGCUGGGCCCCAUCUCACCCUGGUUACUAGAUCCUCAGUUCCUCCCCUCGGCAUCUCAUGGCUCUUCAGGGCCAGGGCUGGGUCUGUCCAGCACUAGUCACAGUGGGGAAAAGUCAGAAUAAAGAAUCAUAAAUGGUGUGUCUGAGUUCUGGAUUUAGAGGGGCGUCCCAACGGUGAACCCCACUGAUAGCCAAGUGGCAGGGAGUCCCACUGGUGAACCCCAUCGAAUAACAUGGCAGGGAGUCCCAUAGGUUAAUCCCACUAACUAGGGGUCACACAUUUGUAGCAUCUGCAGGCUGAGCUCACUGCACACCCUGGGGGUUCCUGGCAUCCCUCCAUCCCCCUUCCCAUAUGCUACCUGCAUGCCACCCUCCCAGCCCCCUCUAUUUCAGGGAGUCCCUGCAACUCCUCUGUGAACCUACCCAUUCCCCCACCCCCAUUUGGCCCCCCCCAUGCCAGUGGCUGUGCGCACCCCCAUCCCUACUACCCCCUGCUCUGUCUGCCCCUUUUCCCCAUCACGGUCCCUGGGCAGGCUGCCCCUGCUGGGACCCUCCUUUAGUCCCCAGAGCGCUUCCCUCCCAUGCGACAAGCCAGCCCCUCCCCUUCCCUCUGGGGUGGGAUUCCUCAAGCCAGCUCUGUGGGUCACGCCACACUGGGUGCCACCCAGGUGCCCUAGUGGGGCAGGUGCAAUGUCAAAAACUGCUCCCGACAGAUUUGGCUACUUGUAGCAGCUACUGACGUCUGGGGUGUUCUUUUUAGCUGCCCUAUAACAAUUUGCUACCUCUUGUUUUUCCAUCUUCAGGUCAGGGUCGGCCGUUGUGACGGAUUGAGUCACUCCUGUCACAAUGUGCUACCGUUAUGAAAUCUCUGUUUUAAAUCUGGACACAACUAAAGAGAGGUAUUUUUCAAAAUCUGAAAACUUCAUUAUUGUACAAGGUCUAUAAACACGCAUAGCUUACUUUACAUGUCAACAUUAUUUAAAAAACAAGCAUCUAAACAUGUUUUUGGAUACAGAGUUAACAUUUUUUUCUUUACUCAAAUGUAUAUUCAAAUUGAACUUUAUUACUCAGUUAUAUUCCAACUGAAUAAUUCCAAGAAAGCCAAAAUAUUUCUCUUAAGAAAAUAAUUAUACACCAUAUGUUUUUUGUAAACAUUUCAACUGUGCACACUUUGUGCAGUUGUACUUUCUUCUGAUCAAUUAGGAUGUCUUCAUUGAUUCCCUCUGGAAGGCAGGGCUCACACUUGGAUAAGUAAUAGAUGAGAAAAUGACACAGAACUAAUAAUGCUAACUAUAAUGUCAAUUAACUCAUAACAUUUAUAAAACAAUAUUCAUUAGUCAAGAUAUGACUGUCAACAGCUGUGGAAAUAUUUACUAAUGUGGAAUUAUCACAAGAAUCCUGACCCUUAGCCAGGUUAUUCCAUCGGGUCUAUAUGCAGCUAACCACGACUUUUGUUCUUGUACUAUAAAUAAUCAUAUUCUGUGUCAAGUAUCGGGGGGUAGCCGUGUUAGUCUGUAUCUACAAAAACAACAAGGAGUCUGGUGGCACCUUAAAGACUAACAGAUUUAUUUGGGCAUAAGCUUUUGUGAGUAAAAACCUCACUUCUUCGGAUGCAUAGCACACAUAUUCUGUGUGUUUAUCUGCUCCAACAUACGCUGUGUGUUUCUGAUGCAACUUUGUAUUUCUUACCAUCAUGCAAUCUUAAUUUUCACCUUUGCAAAUAACACGGUUGCAGUACAUGCAGUACGCCUCCAUGCUUUCUGCAAAAUCAAUAUA